AAAAAAUGUCAAACUUGGGAAAUUAUAGUUUCUAGAAAGUGAUGGGAGGGUGGUAGAGGCUUUUCUUGGGGAAGUCUGAUGAUUCUCAAGUAUUAGCUAGUAGGUAUAAUAAUUGCCAUCAACAUGCUUAAGGAUACCCGUCUAGACGUAUUGCUAGGAUAACUCAAUAUGCAUUUGAUAGAAUGGGAAAAAAGGUGAUUGGGUCUAAAAGGACUCUAUAUUUUUUCAAGAAAACAAGCUAUUUAUAUUCAGUAUAUAAUUUUUGUUUGUUGUAGUACAUUUAUUUGCAAUGAUCAUUAAUCUUUACUCAUAUCACAUUUAUGCGAUUUCCUUGUUCUUUUGUUCUUCUCUGUCUUCCUGAAGUUAUUAUCAUUUUGUGGGCGCCAAUACCCUUCUCAUUGACGUCUCACUGGAAAUUUGGUUCUUACAUCUCAUUAGGCCUUUAGGAAGAUAUAUUUGUUUUCAUCAGCCCUAAGCACUUUCCUUGUGCUUGGUGAUGCGGACUUUGGUUUAAUAGCUUUUGAGAGAGCAUUUCUGACACUCUUCGUGCAUCUAUGGAAAACAAUAGAACAUUUUUUUGUAUGUCGUUUUGCAAUACAAUUUUGAGUAUACCUUCGACAUUAAAAUAUAUCUUAUGCGUGGGAUCGGUGGCAGUAAAUGAUGACUUCUUUAUGGUAGAACUGGUUCUCUGCAGUUGUAAUUUUCUACUCUUUGGGGGUAUAUCCAGGGAUGUUCUCAUAUUGUGUAGUGAUAGGUCUUCAUUUACCCGUGAAAAGCCUCGUGCCAUUGUUUUAAGCUUUCAGAGCUCACUCGGCAGUUUUAACAGUUGAUAAGCUUAUCCAGGUAUCCAUUUUUCUUAUAUGACUUUCUGUUAGUCAUUAUUCACAUUUAUUAUAUUUCUAGUAAUGCAGAUGUAUCAGAAAGCUCUAAAGGCUGAUCCUUAUAUAAAUUAGCGGCAGAAUGUUUGGCAAUGGUAUAAACAGAGCUUGGCACCAGCUUAAAUCUUGGUGGUAACACUCAGGAUGUUAUUCAGAAGUACUAUGAAGCUAUCAAAAUUGACCCACACUAUGCUGUAGAUUCAUGUUUCUCUGCUUCCUUAUUUGGAAUGCCAGGUUACUUUGAUUUUGCUAUCAGGUGUGGUGGCUUUCUUAUUACAGCCUGCUUAUUACAACAUUGGUGUUGUCUAUUCUGAACCACCCUGAACUGCUAUGAGAGAGAUGCCCAUUUAUGCUGAAGCAUAUUGCAACAUGGGCGUUAUCUAUAAAAAUCGUGAGAAUUUGG
rnacentral:lncRNA from 1 species